GUUGAGUGGUGGGCUACUCCCCACAACUCCUGAUUUGGAGGUUGGGGAGGAAGCAGCCUCUUGAAUGAAUUAGGUAGAGGAACCUCCUCUAAUCUCUCCUUUCACCCCUUCUUGGUCUCCCCAGGCCCAGAUCGACCAGUAUGUGGGAUUGGUGACCAAUCAGUUGAGCCACAUCAAAGCUAAGAUCCGAGCUAAGAUCCCAGGGACCGGAGCCCUUGCCUCAGCAGCAGCCGCAGUCUCCGGAUCCAAAGCCAAAGCUGAAUGAAAAGGGUGUCUCUACCUGCGGGACGCCUGCCCCCACCCCUGCAGCCCCUCUGCCUUCCGCCAUCUCCCUUCCAUCCCCUCCCUCUUCCCUCCUCGGCCUGAGCCAUUUCCUGGCGGGUGUCAGGAUCACUCACACCAGGGAGUUUGCGCAAAUUGCCUGAGUGGCCAGGACUACAUUUCCCAUGAGGCUCUGCUCUAGGAGUCCAGGAAAGGCGAGGCACCUUGGCCGCGCAGCCUGCUGGGGCUUGUAGUUAGUGCCCUAGCUAGGGCACCCGCCCUGUACUUACGUGACCCCGCCGCUGGAGGCGCUGUGAGGGGUUGGUGUCUCCCGUCGCCACUAGCCCCAAUGCUGGGGCUUUGCAUGGGGCCCAGGGGAGGCCUGAGCUUGGAUUUACACUGUAAUAAAGACUUCUGUGAAAAAC